GAGGGUGCGAGCGUUAAUCGGAAUUACUGGGCGUAAAGCGCAUGCAGGUGGUUUGUUAAGUCAGAUUGUGGAAAGCCCGGGGCUCUAACCUCGGAAUUGCAUUUUGAAACGUGGCAGACGUUAGAGUACUGUAGGAGGGGGGUAGAAUUUCAGGUGUAGGGGUGAAAUGCGUAGAGAUCUGAAGGAAUACCGGUGGCGAAGGCGGCCCCC
rnacentral:rRNA from 1 species